AUUGAACGCUGGCGGCAGGCCUAACACAUGCAAGUCGAGCGGAUGAAGGGAGCUUGCUCCUGGAUUCAGCGGCGGACGGGUGAGUAAUGCCUAGGAAUCUGCCUGGUAGUGGGGGAUAACGUCCGGAAACGGGCGCUAAUACCGCAUACGUCCUGAGGGAGAAAGUGGGGGAUCUUCGGACCUCACGCCAUCAGAUGAGCCUAGGUCGGAUUAGCUAGUUGGUGGGGUAAAGGCCUACAAAGGCGACGAUCCGUAACUGGUCUGAGAGGAUGAUCAGUCACACUGGAACUGAGACACGGUCCAGACUCCUACGGGAGGCAGCAGUGGGGAAUAUUGGACAAUGGGCGAAAGCCUGAUCCAGCCAUGCCGCGUGUGUGAAGAAGGUCUUCGGAUUGUAAAGCACUUUAAGUUGGGAGGAAGGGCAGUAAGUUAAUACCUUGCUGUUUUGACGUUACCAACAGAAUAAGCACCGGCUAACUUCGUG
rnacentral:rRNA from 1 species